GUCCACGCCGUAAACGUUGGGCGCUAGGUGUGGGGCUCAUUCCACGAGUUCCGUGCCGCAGCUAACGCAUUAAGCGCCCCGCCUGGGGAGUACGGCCGCAAGGCUAAAACUCAAAGGAAUUGACGGGGGCCCGCACAAGCGGCGGAGCAUGUUGCUUAAUUCGAUGCAACGCGAAGAACCUUACCUAGGCUUGACAUGCACGGAAAUCCUCCAGAGAUGGGGGGUCCGUAAGGGCCGUGCACAGGUGGUGCAUGGUU
rnacentral:rRNA from 1 species